rnacentral:rRNA from 1 species
UACGUAGGGUGCAAGCGUUAUCCGGAUUCACUGGGUUUAAAGGGCGCGUAGGCUGCGGGGCAAGUCGGGUGUGAAAUCUCAGAGCUCAACUCUGAAACUGCACUCGAUACUGCUUUGCUUGAGGACUGGAGAGGAGAUUGGAAUUCACGGUGUAGCAGUGAAAUGCGUAGAUAUCGUGAGGAAGACCAGUGGCGAAGGCGGAUCUCUGGACAGUUCCUGACGCUGAGGCGCGAAGGCCAGGGGAGCAAACGGG